rnacentral:rRNA from 1 species
UGGGGAAUCUUGCACAAUGGGGGCAACCCUGAUGCAGCGACGCCGCGUGAGCGAUGAAGCCCUUCGGGGCGUAAAGCUCUUUCGACCGGAACGAUAAUGACGGUACCGGGAGAAGAAGCUGCGGCUAACUACGUGCCAGCAGCCGCGGUAAUACGUAGGCAGCAAGCGUUGUUCGGAGUUACUGGGCGUUAAGAGUGCGUAGGCGGUUUUCUAAGUUCGGUGUGAAAUCUCCCGGCUUAACUGGGAGGGUGCGCCGAAGACUGGGAAGCUGGAGUGUGGGAAAGGCAGGCGGAAUUCCUGGUGUAGCGGUGAAAUGCGUAGAUAUCAGGAGGAACACCGGCGGUGUAGACGGCUUGCUAGACCAUAACUGACGCUGAGGCACGAAAGCGUGGGUAGCAAACA